rnacentral:rRNA from 1 species
UACAGAGGGUGCGAGCGUUGUCCGGAAUCACUGGGCGUAAAGGGCGCGUAGGUGGUGGCUUAAGCGUGCGGUGAAAGCUCGGGGCUCAACUCCGAGUCGGCCGUGCGAACUGGGCUCACUGGAGCAUAGUAGAGGCAGGUGGAAUUCCGGGUGUAGCGGUGGAAUGCGUAGAGAUCCGGAAGAACACCGGUGGCGAAGGCGGCCUGCUGGGCUAUGGCUGACACUGAGGCGCGGAAAGCGUGGGGAGCGAACAGG